rnacentral:misc_RNA from 1 species
GAUGAAGAACGUAGCGAAAUGCGAUAACUAAUGUGAAUUGCAGAAUUCAGUGAAUCAUCGAGUCUUUGAACGCACAUUGUGCCCCCUGGUAUUCCGGGGGGCAUGCCUGUCCGAGCGUCAUUGCUGCCCUCAAGCACGGCUUGUGUGUUGGGCUCCGUCCCCCCGGGGACGGGCCCGAAAGGCAGCGGCGGCACCGAGUCCGGUCCUCGAGCGUAUGGGGCUUUGUCACCCGCUCUGUAGGCCCGGCCGGCGCCAGCCGACAACCCAUCAUCCUUUUCAGGUUGACCUCGGAUCAGGUAGGGAUACCCGCUGAACUUAAGCAUAUCAAUAAGCGGAGGA